UGCAGAACUUGGCAGUGAGAAAGCCAGCUCCCAGCAGCAUGCGGGUGUCUCUGACUCUGUCACCCUCUUUUAGCUCGGCUUCCUUGUGCUGAGAAGAUGGGACAGAAGCAGGUCAGCUGUGACCUCCCUGAGGCCCCAGAGCCUGGCCCUGCCUUGGCAUCCUCCCCUCCGGAAGCAUACCAUCUGCCUAGUUUUUAUUUUUUUUAUUAUUCAUAUAUUUAUUUAUUGUUCUCAUAUUCUUUUUCAUUCUCGGGUACUACAAGAUAUUGAAUAUAGAGCUCCCUGUGCCGUACAGUGUAAAUGUGUGGUUUAUCUAUUUUAUAUAUAGUAGUGUUGUGUAUCUGCAAAUCCCAAACUCCCAGUUUAUCCCUUCUGGAUCUAAAAACGUCUGGUUUUAAAAAUGCCUUGUCGGGGGUAAUUCUGUCUCACUGCACCAGCCCUGGUUAUGCUGAAGCCAGGCAGGGACUGUUCUGGCGCCCAGAACAUUUCUCUCAACUUCUACCCACCUCUUCUCUUCAAAAACAGGAAGCCGCCCAGGCCAGUGUCAGUCAGCCCCGAGCCCAGAGGUGCAGACCUCAUUAGCUCUCAGAAAGUGGGUGCAAAACCUGGCAAGUCAGGUCUGUUUUUGUCCCCUUCCAGAUGUCUAGAUUUCUCUUCCUGCCCUCACCCUCCGUUCCGAGCCACACCUGGGCUUCUCGGGUGAUGGCAGGAAGCGAGACCCUCCCAGGGAUUUGAAGACACACUGGCUCUGCAGGUGCAACAGAGUCAGGCCCCAAGUUCUGGACUCUAUCCACGCCUGUGUGUUAUCUGGUGAGCCUGUAGCCUCAGAGCAAAGUGAUGCAUUCAUACAUUUCAUUAUCAGGAGGGAAGAUACUGGAAAAAUACCAGUAUUUCUUUUUUCGGAGCAGUGCUUUUAACUUCAUCUCAAGCUGUUCAUGUUAUUUUGGGGUUAGCUGAAGACACAGACACAAGGACCCAGGCUGCUGAUGAUUGGGGCAGAAGAAAGGAAGGAGCCUGGGGAGUCGUCCCCGCAGCACAUCUGACCGUGUUCACUGCAAGACAAGAAUGCUGUGUAAGACACGAGGGCUGCGUCUGAGGUACGUCGGAGUGGGUCAGGUCACGACGCGUUCCCCGGACCCCUGGCUGCAGAGCAUUCCCCUCCUCAUCUGCUGCAGGUCUGCGUGCUCUGCUCCUUCCUCUCUUCUUUCUGACCUCUCUCCCUCUUCUCCAUCAGAAUUCCUUUCUGUAGAAUAAGCAACCCAGAGGGCUGAGAGAUGAAUGAAGAACAAAUCACUGUGUUCCCUGGCUGAUUAUUGAUGAAAUGUCCCUGGCACCUUCUCUCUGUCUGAUUAUCAGCUGCAGAGUCAUGUUAGAAUGUGGAAAGGACUCCAAAGAUGAAACUGGUUGCUGGGGAGGAAAGGGAGGAGUUUGAGCCAAGACCCAGGAAACCCAAGAAAGGGAGGCUCUGGGAGGCAUUCAUGCUGGGUCAUCUUUGAGGACUGCUCCCUGCCCUCGGGGUCCUCUCAGAGGCACCUGGGAGCAGCUUUUCCGCCCAGCUCUUUGCUGUCACCUUCUCCGCCCCAAGGCCACCUCUGGGGCUCCCUGGGGUGAGCCGUCUUGGAAACAAGCCCAUGGUGAGGACUCUGGACUCCUCCAGGCUCCCAUGUGCUUUGUGGCCUGGAGAAGGGUAACCGGGUGGGUCCCGCAGCUCCCUCUGUGAGAGAAGUUGAGAAAGUUGACAAUUUGUCUGGGGACAUUUGCUAAGUCAUGUUUUAAGAAACAAAUCACAUCUGAUGCAAUUCGGACCCACCGCCAAGCAGUGCGAUACAUAGGUUCUCAGGCUCUGAGACCCGGUGGGAAAUUGCCUAUAGGCCCCCACAGCCUGGGAAACUGGCCUGGAGGUUUUAUAGAGUGACUAAUAUCCUACAGGGAUCCGCUGGGCCCUAGGACUUGCACCAGGGUCAGCAGAUCAGCCCCUCUUAGAGCAACACCCCUGGGAAGGCCCGCGUCCAUCUGGAAGAAACCAGCCACGGAGUGGAUUCAGGGCUUGUUUCUCUUUCCCACCUCUCACCCGGCCAUGUGAUUUACACACCACUUUACAUUUUCUGUUGGGAAAUCCCAAAGCAUCUAAAAGGCAAGCAGAGGUUCUCAAGCUGCAGCCAAAGGUAUAUGUGUGUUGGGUUGAAGGGAAAGGAGUGGGGCUGAGAAAAGGAGGUGGGGGGAGUAAAUGGCUGGGGAGAAGUUGGGUCUCUGAGGCUCAAUCCAAUAAUGUUAUAAUUAAUAAUCUGUUCACAUGUGACCCUGUAUGGCGCCAUCAUAGAUGUUUGGGUUGCAGAAUUUGGUGGAACAGUGUCACAGAAACAUGAUUUCUUUCUCCCCGACUUGGGGAGUUUGGCCAGCUGGGGAUGUUCUGUGUUUAGAUGUGUAACCGGGGUGGAGGGUAACAUUUCAGUGGUGCAUGCAUGAGGUCCCGGGGGCAAUGCCCAGUACCACCAUUAAAAACAAAUAAACAAACUGAAUUCCCUCCCCCCACCAAAAAAAAAAAGAUGUUUAACCAGUUGCCUCCAUUGCCAGUCACACAUGGCAUCUGCUUGGUCACUGUCCAGAGGGUGAAGUCCCUAAUCGCUGUGAGCUCCUGCUGCCUGAACCGUCACACUGCCUGAGACCCUGGUUAUGACCUGAUUGUGAUUUUUCUGCAUGAGGACAGCUGGAACAAGAGGACAAGUGUGGCCUCCCCAGAUGAAGAGGACCAAAUGACCUGCCAUGUUCUCACUUGUCCUGAGGCCUCUGGCCAGAGUCUCAAAGUCAGGUGAGCAGAACAAAGGCCAGUGGCCUCUCACUUUCUGGAAAGUCCUAGAACUCAGCCCAGGGGGGCGGGAAAUGAGGUUCUCCCUUCAUCUGACCCCACGUCCAUCACGGUUUCUCUGGUGUCUCAAGACUUUAUCGAGCACUUUCCAGAGAGCACUUUUCACUGGCAGAGAAUCUGGUAAGUUCUGCUGUAUCUGGAAAAAGCAUCACCAUUGUUGGUAUGAGGGCCAGCGGCCACGUCACUGGGCUCUGGGCAGGAGUGUUCGAGUUUCCUGGAAGCUGGACCCGGGCAGAGCUCCCGAUCGUGUUCCAGGACCCUUGGUGAAUGUUUCCAUACCCGUUCAUUUCCUUAGAGCUAUCUUUCUUUUCCCCUGAACAUUUACCGUGUUGUAGUUACUGUGCUAAGUGCACCAGAAAGUGAUCUCACUGAUCUUUUUUAAAGACUUUUAAAAAGCACAUAAUAUAAAAAUUUUUUCCUUAUUACUGAAGAACAUUAUCUUCCAUGUCUUCCGUACCCCUCAGAACUGAAUUCUAGUCUGACCCCCGUUUUCCAAAUGUGGAGACCUGAGUGGGGAGAGAGGUGGACGAAAACUCUCCCAGAGUCGUGCAGUGGGUGAAUGAAAUGCAGGAAUUCAAGGUCAGUUUGGCUGCCACCAGAGGCCACGCUCCGAAAGGCUUCCCCGUGGAUCUCAGAUCUGGCUUCCCACUGAGGUCCCUGGGCAGCCAUCUCUCCGUGGAACCUGCCCGUUCCAACCUCUGUGCACUGUCUCCGACCAUCUCGCGAUUUCUAACUCUCCCCAAAGUUCUCUGCCAUUUUCUAGGACACCUUCUGACAUUUCUUAUUCUGAUUUUUAAAUUCUGCUGGGAAGGACAGAGACCUUCCCUCCUAAGGUAAAGUGGCCUCAAGUGGAAGACACGCAGAAAGACAUGAGACGUCAGUGGCUCUGAGUGGCGCUUUUCUAGAAAGGAGAAAACAGCUUAUUAGAGCGAGCUGGCCAAGUCUUUUCCAGUAGAGGCAACUUUUUCCCAGGGCACGGCCAACCUUCUCUGUUCACCUCCUCCGUAUCUGUUGCGAUUGAACCAUUGGUGCAGAACUCAGGGACUACUUGUCGAGCACGUCUGUACCGGUCCGGCCAUGCUAGGUUACACGGUGGUGACAGGCGCCGAACCUCAGCGCUUCAAGCCCUCCUCCUCGCAGGGACGGAGCAGGAGGAUUCAGACAGUGUUUCAGGACCCAAGGAAGCAAAGGAGAAGGCUCCGAACUGCGAAAAAUGCCCUGGAUGAUGGGACGUUCAAACAGAAAGAGCAGCCAUACACACUUUGGAGAAAAUACCAGGCACACUGUUGUGGUCUGGAUGAGCUGAUCCUGCUAAGCCCACUUGGUAGCAGGUUUCUCACAAGAGUGUGAGGCCCACGCGUGGAGAGUCACCAUCACUUGCGUCAUCAGCUGGGCUCCAAGGACUCUUUCUUCAGCUAAGGGCCUCCGCAGUUCUGACCUCCCCUCAGCAGGCUGGCCGGCUCUCACUCAGCCCCUCCGCACACCUUCUGUUCUUUGGGCAUCUUCUUG